CAACAAACAGCAGCAGCCAUCCAGCAACAACAGCAAGGCGCAGCAGGACAGCAGCAGCAACAAGUAGGAAGUGUCCAACCAGUGCCUACCAGCAGGGAAGACAGCAGAGAGAGAAGGCGUGAAUGGAGCAGAGAGAGACCGCGUGAAAGGAGCAGGGAGAGAAUGAUCGAGAGAAGCAGAGAGAGACCGCAUGAAAGGAGCAAGGAGAGAAGGCAUGAAUGGGAUGGAUCGAGAGGAAAUGAGGAGAGGAAAUGCACUCGUUGCGAUUCUCAACAUGUUCAAAAUGGUCACCAUGGCAACUACCAUUUAUUUAUACAUCUGGACCGCAAGUAGUCUCAGAAGUUGAGUGACUUGUGUGUUUUGGUAAUUAAAAUCUUUCUCCCACUCUGUAUGGAUGUCAUGAACUCUGCGUGCAGAGAAUUUAGAAAAAUUUAUGUGCACUGGCUUUCACAAUGCGGUAGAAAGUUCUCGUGGCUUGAACUUACUAUGUACCCGGUAGUAGGUUGAAUAAAAAAGCUAAAACCCAAUUGAUGAAUUAUAACACACAUGUACCUACAAAAUAAGUUAACGAUCCAGUGUGGAUGAAAAAAAAAGGUUGUAUAAAAAGUCCCUGUUUGGAGAAACUUUCCAUGUCCUUACUGAAAGAAGAAUUUAACCCUUUCUUUUUUAUCAUAAAAAAAGGAUAUUUUCACUUCAUAUCAUUCAAGAAAAUGAUAACAAUUAUUCAUAAUGAAAUGUGAAGUGCAUUUAAUCGUACACCAAGCAAACAGCUAGCGAACAGCUUCAUUUUAACUAAGGGAUCUUUAUCACUUUUUUGGUCUGUUGAAUUAAUUCACAGCGGUUAGCUAUGAUCCAUACAUGAAUAUCAUAUAUCUUAAAUAAUGAUUCUUAUAAUGUUCUUUUAUUUAUAAUAGAGGAAGUCAUUUGUUUUAUUUCAGUAUAUUAUAAUUGUUUAAGGGAAACUUCUAAAACCUUGCCUUAAGACAGUCCUAUUCAGGUAGAUAAUUAGCAUCUGUCUCGUAACAUGCAUACAUUUGCAAUAAAGGAAGCAAUUUGAUGUAUUUUAGUGCACAAUAAAAAUAGUUUUAAGGGAA